UUACCCGGUAGUGUAACGGUAGCACCACAGUUUUUGGUACUGUUAGUCCAGGUUCAAAUCCUGGCCGGGUAAUC
rnacentral:tRNA from 1 species